rnacentral:rRNA from 1 species
AUUGAACGCUGGCGGCAUGGCUAAAACAUGCAAGUCGAGCGGGGAGCUUCGGCUCCUAGCGGCGAACGGGUGAGUAACACGUGGGCAACCUACCCUCAAGACUGGGAUAACACCGGGAAACCGGUGCUAAUACCAGAUAAUCUCAAGUCUCGCAUGAGACUCGAGUAAAAGACUUCACUUGAGGAUGGGCCCGCGGCGCAUUAGCUUGUGGUGGGUAACGCCACAAGGCCACGAUGCGUAGCCGACCUGA